rnacentral:rRNA from 1 species
UGAGUUGCGAACGGGUGAGUAACGCGUAGGUAACCUGCCUGGUAGCGGGGGAUAACUAUUGGAAACGAUAGCUAAUACCGCAUAAGAACAUUUACUGCAUGGUAGAUGUUUAAAAGGUGCAAGAGCAUCACUACCAGAUGGACCUGCGUUGUAUUAGCUAGUUGGUGAGGUAACGGCUCACCAAGGCAACGAUACAUAGCCGACCUGAGAGGGUGAUCGGCCACACUGGGACUGAGACACGGCCCAGACUCCUACGGGAGGCAGCAGUAGGGAAUCUUCGGCAAUGGGGGGAACCCUGACCGAGCAACGCCGCGUGAGUGAAGAAGGUUUUCGGAUCGUAAAGCUCUGUUGUUAAGGAAGAACGUGUGUGAGAGUGGAA